rnacentral:rRNA from 1 species
AUUGAACGCUGGCGGCAGGCCUAACACAUGCAAGUCGAACGGUAGCACAGAGAGCUUGCUCUCGGGUGACGAGUGGCGGACGGGUGAGUAAUGUCUGGGAAACUGCCUGAUGGAGGGGGAUAACUACUGGAAACGGUAGCUAAUACCGCAUAACGUCGCAAGACCAAAGAGGGGGACCUUCGGGCCUCUUGCCAUCAGAUGUGCCCAGAUGGGAUUAGCUAGUAGGUGGGGUAACGGCUCACCUAGGCGACGAUCCCUAGCUGGUCUGAGAGGAUGACCAGCCACACUGGAACUGAGACACGGUCCAGACUCCUACGGGAGGCAGCAGUGGGGAAUAUUGCACAAUGGGCGCAAGCCUGAUGCAGCCAUGCCGCGUGUAUGAAGAAGGCCUUCGGGUUGUAAAGUACUUUCAGCGGGGAGGAAGGUGUUGAGGUUAAUAACCUCAGCAAUUGACGUUACCCGCAGAAGAAGCACCGGCUAACUCCGUG